UGCACUCGAAAAUUCAGUUUUCUCCCGCUCCAACAAAAUCAAAUUAAUAAAGCGACUGCGACAUAAAUAAAUAAAUCAUGAAUCCUUCAAAGUUAAACCCCAAACCUUGCUGCUGCGUAAGUUGUUGAAAUCCCGGUAUCUGUCUUCGAUUCCAAGUAUCAAAAACCUUCGCAUUUUCUCUCUGCACUCUGCAGUGUCGAAGGCAAAGUGAAACGGAGAGAGUGCGAACGAACGAAGAUGGCGUCAAUCUGCGACACCUAUAUCCCUCUUCGACUACAGAACAUCGACGCUUUCACCGCUUCUUACAGAAACUCUCUCCAAUCACUGAGAACCACCGCACUCGAAACCGCGCGAUCUCAAUCCGAACUAACAGAGAUUCAAGCUAAACUCAGAGAGGCUGAGGAUGAUUUGGUAAAGGCACUUGCAGUUAAAACUCGGAGAGAGGCGAAGCGAAUGGCGUUGAAAGCCGCGAUUGAUUCUGUGAAGGGAAGAAUUGAAGAUCUGAAGACGAGUAUUCCGCAGCAGAGAACAAAAAACAAGGAAUGUGCUACCGUUGUAUCGCAGCACCGGCUUGUUUUGGCAGUGUCUGAACAGGAAUCAAAUGAAAGCAGUGAGCAUAGAGAUGAAGUCCAGGAGGCCAUAUCUUGGUACAAUAGGAUCCUUGGUUUUCAUGUUGAAGGUGGACGUGGGGUAAAAUUCACCUUCAAGAAUAUUAAUGUGGACAACCCAAAUGAGGAGUUCUUUUUUACCAUCCGCCUUGAAGAUGACAUUUAUACAUUGCUAAAUUGUAAACCAUCUGUCAAAGAUACUGACGAGGUGAUCCAUGAAUUAAACAAGACAAAUGGUCUAUUUAAAUUUGUCAGAACAAUGAGGAAAAAGUUUCAAGAAGCAGUGGCACAAGGCAGUCUAUCUAUGACAACAAAUGAACAUCAAGAAUCUGCCUUUAUGUCUGCAUCUGCUCCAGUUUUAUCAAUAUCAACCAUUACUGAAGGAAAUGAGAAUCAAGAUGAACCCAUCAAAGGCAAUGCACAUCUCCAGAAACAAGUCAAUCGAAGAAGGGUAAAAUCUCCUGGAUCUGCAUCAUCUGUUUGUCAAUCUCCUCGUUUGAAGGUGUCAACUCAAAUACUCAAGCUGUAUCAGAAAGUGAGUUUAGGUAACUCAAACGUUUAAAAUCGGCUUGUAAGAUGAGAAUUGUUCCCGACUUAUAUAAUUUAUCUCAGCACUAUCUUUAGUCAAUGUGGUACUUCAACAUGUCCUCUUUCACCCGUAGGUAUCUGCCAUAUGGGACUUUCAACACACCUCUAUCUAAGGGUGACCACAAUUUAGGUGGCUUUUUCCAACAUUUCCCCUCAUUCUCAAGGUCACCUGCCUAUAGCGUGACAAACACAAUGACCAAUCUAGGAUAGGCUCUGAUACACCAUAUCAUAAAGUGAAUUAUGAGUCUAACUCAAUCCUACAAAAUCGAUUUUUAAGGUCAGGAAAUGAAGCGGUGUGGGGGAUGCUCACCUGCUCGGUACCUCAUUUUGAUGAGACAUGCUGGUUCGUGUAGGGCAUUAAUUGCUAACAAAUUGACAUGUAAAUUAAGACAUACCCAGGUUCUGGAUGUCUGAACCUGUAUAUAAUAGACCAGAAGAUCCCUACGUUUUUCGUUUAUGGUCCAUUUGAUAUUUGUGUGUGUAUUUUAAUUUUUUUUUCCCAUUGUUGAUAUACUCGUAUUGUUCAAUAAAACAUCAGUCAUUCUAGUGAUGAUAGUUGUUUUGGCAUUGUAAAUAAAGUAUUGAUCCUUUUAUUUA